AUUGAACGCUGGCGGCAGGCCUAACACAUGCAAGUCGAGCGGAUGAAGGGAGCUUGCUCCUGGAUUCAGCGGCGGACGGGUGAGUAAUGCCUAGGAAUCUGCCUGGUAGUGGGGGAUAACGUCCGGAAACGGGUGCUGAUACCGCAUACGUCCUGAGGGAGAAAGUGGGUGAUCUUCGGACAUCAUGCUAGCAGAUGAGCCUAGGUCGGAUUAGUCAGUUGGUGGGGUAAAGGCCUACCAAGGCGGCCAUCGGUAACUGGUCUGAGAGGAUGAUCAGUCACACUGGAACUGAGACACGGUCCAGACUCCUACGGGACGCAGCAGUGGGGAAUAGUGGACAAUGGGCGAAAGCCUGAUACAGCCAUGCCGCGUGUGUGAAGAAGGUCUUCGGAUUGUAAAGCACUUUAAGUUGGGAGGAAGGGCAGUAAGUUAAUACCUUGCUGUUUUGACGUUACCAACAGAAUAAGCACCGGCUAACUUCGUG
rnacentral:rRNA from 1 species